rnacentral:rRNA from 1 species
GCGCUGGCGAAUGUCUAGGAUGGGUGACCCCCUGGGAGUCCUCGUGUUGCACCC